AAGUCUGGGUGUCUAUGUGUUUUUUCACAUACACAAGUUAAAUGUCUAUAGAAUGAAAUUGUAGGCUUUUGUCAGCCUUUUAAAUGAUAAAAUACAACUUUCAACAACGGAUCUCUUGGCUCUCGCAUCGAUGAAGAACGCAGCGAAAUGCGAUAAGUAAUGUGAAUUGCAGAAUUCAGUGAAUCAUCGAAUCUUUGAACGCAUCUUGCGCUCCUUGGUAUUCCGAGGAGCAUGCCUGUUUGAGUGUCAUUAAAUAUCUCAAAAAGCUCGUGCUUUUUUGGCAUGGGAUUUUUGGACAUUGGGAGUUGCCGGCUGCUGAUAAAGUGGUGGGCUCUUCUGAAAAGCAUUAGUUGAGGAGCUUUGCACUCUAUUGGUGUGAUAAACUAUCUAUGCCAGGAGAAGCUUCAUGAUCCUCUGCUAUCU
rnacentral:rRNA from 1 species